rnacentral:rRNA from 1 species
UACGUAGGGGCGAGCGUUGUCCGGAUUUAUUGGGCGUAAAGAGCGUGUAGGCGGCUUGGUAGGUCCGCUGUGAAAACUACGAGGCUCAACCUCCGAGACGCCGGUGGAAACCAUCAGACUAGAGUCCGGAAGAGGAGAGUGGGAAUUCCUGGAUGUAGCGGUGGAAAUGACGCAGAUAUCAGGAGGAACACCGGUGGCGAAGGCGGCAUCCUGGACCGACAUUGACGCUGAACGAAGCGAAAGGCAUAGGGGGAGUCAAACACGGG